UACGUAGGUGGCAAGCGUUGUUCGGAAUUAUUGGGCGUAAAGGGCGCGUAGGCGGUUCUGUAAGUCGGUUGUGAAAGCCCGGGGCUCAACCCCGGAGGGUCGACUGAUACUGCAGGACUAGAGUACGGAAGAGGUAGCUGGAAUUCCCGGUGUAGCGGUGAAAUGCGUAGAUAUCAGGAGGAACACCGGUGGUGUAGACGGCUUUCUGGACCGUAACUGACGCUGAGACACGAAAGCGUGGGUAGCAAACAGG
rnacentral:rRNA from 1 species